rnacentral:lncRNA from 1 species
UUCAAAGAAAAAAAAAAAACAAAUAUGGAAUACAUAAUAUAUCCAUGAUUCAAAAUAAUUCCCUAUAAAUUUUAAGCAAACUAUAGUGUAAACUGAUAUGUUUCAUUUCUCCAACUUGUGAUCUAAGCAUUUUUACCUAUAAAACAUUUGAAUAACGUUGAAUGAAAUUACAUCUCAGUGGAUUCAAAGGAAUGAAACUAAAUCAAUUAACAUUCUAAUUCAUAGCUAUCUUUAUCUUAUGAGUUUCUCUUCUAUGUAUAGUUUUGACUUUAAAUAUUCAAGCCAUCAGACGUGAGUAAUCUAAUGAUUUAAACUCUAUCUAACAUACAUUAGUUUUACUAAUGCCCUCUUCUUGUUAAUAGCUUUAUUUUGGUAAGAUUUGACAUAAUUACGUUCGUAAGUGGUGCCUUACUUACCCUCGCUUCCGUCGUAUAUAGAAGGAGAAUUCAUCUAGCUAAGAUGAAUCCUAUACUUCUCACCUUAAUCAAAUAUAUAGUAAUUAUAUAUAACAAUCCACACAAACAUAUAUAACAUCAUCUAUUAAAAAAUAUAUUAAAGACUACCAUGCACUAAACCUUGAAAAUUAUUAUGAUAACAUAAACUAUUAAGGCAAUUAUAUCAUACUAAUCACAUAAUGUAAAAUAAAAUUCAAGAGAACAUGUUUAAGAUGUAUUUUUUCAAAAACAGCCCCAAAUUUAUGUUAUAACAACUUAAAAUUGGGUUUAACUACAUAGUCAACUGACAGAAACUUAUAAAUAUCAUAAUUGAGUGAAUGAGUACUCUUUGGAAAGCUUAUGAUGUCUACUUUAUAGAUAAAAUUUUAUUUUAUUUUUAUUAAGCCCCUAAUUCUUGUAGUUUAUCAAAACAAAACACAAUGACAGAAAACAAACAGAACAUCAACUCUAGUCUAACUUGUAACCCAUUUUUCAGCAUCAAUACUCAAUCAAAAAUCAUGAAUUUUGUACUCAAUUUGAAGGUAAUUGAGUAUAGUUUCCAAAAAACUAAAAAUCAUUCAAAACGAAGGUCUAUAGAAAAAAUUAUGACCAAAAUAUCACACAUAUGUCCUGCAAAAUUCAAGUUAAUAACAUUCCUUCAAUCACACUAAUUUCCUAACAAUUCUUUGCAACAAUAAUGCUACAAAUUAUGAGUAAAUCAGUAAUGAACACAUCAAAACAACAUCACAAUUUUCAAUUUACUCAAUUUAAUUGGUCACAAAGGUGAAACUCAAGAUCUUUAAUUUCAAACUCAUCAAAAGAGGAUAAUUUAAUGUCAUAAAUGAAACUCAAUACUAUAAUAAUCUACUCUCAAUUUCAGUUAUAGAACUUCACAUGCAUAAAUAAUUUUAACCAUCAUUUCAAAAUCCCUAAAUCUAACCAAGAAUAAAAUUUUAAAAAAAAUCAUUUUCUUCUUUUCAAACCUUUAAACCCCAAAUCCUUAUUCUAUGGAACAUAUUAAUUCAUACAUGCAUGAACGAGAAAAAUAGAAAAAGAAAAUUCACCUCUUGACUUCCAAAAUAAUGAAGAAGAUAAUGGUACUCUCAAAUCUUUGUACCUUGACUUCUUGUAAGAAUUGCACUUUUCCUUUCUCUUUUUUUGUCUUGUCAAAGUUUUUGUUGUUUUUUUUCUUCCUUUCUCCUUCUCUCGUUUCUUCUUCUCUAUCUUACCAUUUUUUUCUCUCUCUCUCUCUCUCUUUCUCUUUCUGCUUCUAGUUUC